UUUAUUUUUAUAAUUAAUUUCCAAGUAAACACUCUCUCAAACUGCAGUUUUAACUUUAGUAUGAGGAGAGUUUUGAAUCUGAACUAUUUAAAUAAAAAGUACAUGUUAAUGUAAAUUUUUCAGUGAAUGAGGUGAAAACCCGGGUUGCAUCACUUCGGAUGCAGUAUGGCAAACUGCUCAAACCGAAACCUAGUGGCAGUGGCCAGAAACCACCAACUCCCAAACAGACCUGGAUCUUAAAACAUUUGGAUAUCUUGAAGGCACAUGUCAUAGACAUAGACAGACUGAGUCCACUCUGAAACUUGGAACAGAGUCAGAGGACAUAGGCGCAACAGAGGAGGGAGAUGAGGAUCAGUCCACUAUGGGAAUUGAAGCAGAUGUCCUUAUGUCUUCAAACACCACUAGCCCAGUUUCAGUGAGCCAGGAAGAGGAAAACACCUCAAACAGUCCACCAAUCUCAGAGUCCACAGGUCGGCUUGUUAAAAGACCUAGAGUGCAAAAACAUGCACCAAAAUCAGUAGAGCACAGCAUUGAGAUGACCAGACUUUCCCUGCUUCAGCAGGUCCAGCAAACGCUAUCGGCAUCUAAUGCAGAUUCUGAGGAGCUGUUUGGCCAACAAGUAGCCUCAGAGUUGAGAAACAUAAAGGACAGAGCUCUACAGCUGCGGCUCAAGAGAAACAUCAUGAACAUGAUUUAUGACACGCAGGAGGCUGAGCAGGGAGGCCACCAUUCUCAAUUUGCAGGCUCGCAGGUUAGGCCACCUUGGUAUCCCACCCAACCUCAUCAGGUCCAGCCCCCCCCAGACUGCCAGGCCCCAUCAACCCAGCCAAUGUCCUUUCUGAAAAUGCUCAACUCUGAGUAACUUAAAUAAUAAAUUUCAAACAGUUAUAUCUAAGAAUAUUUUCGAGUUUACUAGUUCAACUUUACUAGUUCCUGUUGUAAACACAGUCCAUUCAAAUUACAGCUUCAUUCAAAUGUUUUAAAUGUUCCAACAGUUAAUUCAAAUUGUACAUUAGAAUUUUCUUUGUGACACUAUUACUAUGUGUCUUUCCUACCUCAAUUUUGUGGAGUGUUGCAGAACUAUUUGCACAAUUUGAUGGAAGAUAUUUUUGUAUUUAUGUAAUAAAGCAAAACAUUUUUGCAAUUUC